GGAAACUUAGAACCUUUGGAUAAAAAAAUGGACGUCCGAGAUUCGUCUACAUCAUCAAGAGUAAAAAUUUUACUUGCAGUAAAACUUUUACUCAUGAGUAAAUCCGUUAAUAAAACUUUUACUCGUGAUGAAGUAGAUGAAUCUCAGACGUCUAUUUUUCGAUUCUACGGCAGUUUCAAGUUUUU
rnacentral:pre_miRNA from 1 species